rnacentral:lncRNA from 1 species
CGAUCGUACAAAAGUAAUGAAAAUGCUGAGAGACGAGAUAUGAGCUCUUCAAGUUACAGUUCUACCUCCCCUUCUGUAGAGGCCACACGUCCAAGCCGAACAGAUUUUGACAAUGGCUCCUAGUACAGUGAUAAACAUUCUGAUAGCUGGUUCUCAGCUAUCGAUAGACAACCUUAGGCACCACGAAAUUUCAACUUUCACUAAAUUCACAUGAGCAAUCAAGAAAGCACAACAAAAGUCGAAUGAAUAUCAAGUUAAAGAAGUCACAGGUGAAAAGUGUGCAUAUAUUGAACAAGAACUAGAAAAAUUAAGUGGUAAGCACAUGUGAACAGACUUAAGGGUCAAAAAGUUAAGGUAGCAGUUGGUUUACAUUUUCGUUUUCCAUUUUCAUUUUCAAAAACGACGGAUUAAACGCAUUUUCGAAAACGGAAAACGGAAAAUGGCCAGAAAACGGCAAACCAACCGCAACCUAAGAUUUCAUAUAGAAGAGCAAAAUUCUACUUUAAAAGAAGGUUCAACCAUAUGAAGAGGCUGCUAUACAUUGCAAAGAAGAAAAAGUUGAGAUCUUGAUGAGAACUGGUCAUAUGUCUGAAUUGGUCCCUAUUAAAUAUUAAUUUAGUAUAAAAUUAAUUAAGCAAAUUGACGUAAUUAUAUGCAUUUUCAUGUUUAAUAAAAGUGGGAUUGAUGAGUAGAAGCAUCGUGGAUAUAUAGUGUUUAGAUAAAUAAAUUUAAUAAGGACAAUAUUAUAAUAUAAAAUGUAUGAAUAUAAUAUUUCUUA